GCAGUCGAACGGAAAGGCCCUGCUUUUGUGGGGUGCUCGAGUGGCGAACGGGUGAGUAACACGUGAGUAACCUGCCCUUGACUUUGGGAUAACUUCAGGAAACUGGGGCUAAUACCGGAUAGGAGCUCCUGCUGCAUGGUGGGGGUUGGAAAGUUUCGGCGGUUGGGGAUGGACUCGCGGCUUAUCAGCUUGUUGGUGGGGUAGUGGCUUACCAAGGCUUUGACGGGUAGCCGGCCUGAGAGGGUGACCGGCCACAUUGGGACUGAGAUACGGCCCAGACUCCUACGGGAGGCAGCAGUGGGGAAUAUUGCACAAUGGGCGGAAGCCUGAUGCAGCAACGCCGCGUGCGGGAUGACGGCCUUCGGGUUGUAAACCGCUUUCGCCUGUGACGAAGCGUGAGUGACGGUAAUGGGUAAAGAAGCACCGGCUAACUACGUGCCAGCAGCCGCGGUGAUACGUAGGGUGCGAGCGUUGUCCGGAUUUAUUGGGCGUAAAGGGCUCGUAGGUGGUUGAUCGCGUCGGAAGUGUAAUCUUGGGGCUUAACCCUGAGCGUGCUUUCGAUACGGGUUGACUUGAGGAAGGUAGGGGAGAAUGGAAUUCCUGGUGGAGCGGUGGAAUGCGCAGAUAUCAGGAGGAACACCAGUGGCGAAGGCGGUUCUCUGGGCCUUUCCUGACGCUGAGGAGCGAAAGCGUGGGGAGCGAACAGGCUUAGAUACCCUGGUAGUCCACGCUGUAAACGGUGGGUACUAGGUGUGGGGUCCAUUCCACGGGUUCCGCGCCGUAGCUAACGCUUUAAGUACCCCGCCUGGGGAGUACGGCCGCAAGGCUAAAACUCAAAGGAAUUGACGGGGCCCCGCACAAGCGGCGGAGCAUGCGGAUUAAUUCGAUGCAACGCGUAGAACCUUACCUGGGUUUGACAUGGAUCGGGAGUGCUCAGAGAUGGGUGUGCCUCUUUUGGGGUCGGUUCACA
rnacentral:rRNA from 1 species